GCCGUGACCCUCCCUGCCCCAGCACCCUAGUUGCUGCGUAUUUUCCUCCACAUGACAGUCUGGGCCCGUAGAAGUCUGGUCUUUCUCCUCCCUCAGGAGGAGCGACAGAACUGAGGCCCAAGGGGAGGCUGGGCAGGAGUCAGACGUCUGCCUCCGCCAGGCUGGGUGACCCUCAGGGAUGACGUCGCUGCACCGCGACCUCCUUCCUGGCCACCAGGCACAGGCAGCAUUGGGAUCAGCCCCUCAUUGGAGUGACGGCUGUGUGACACAUGUGACCUCACAGGGCCCUGUGAUGUCACAGCAGGAGUGGCCUGCCUGGCUCAGGCUCCCUGGAGCAGCCAAUGGGAGGAGGUGGCCAGUUCGUGGUACAGGAAGUCGUUCCCACUUGGAGAACUCUGAGAGGGACUCGGCCAGGAUGCAGAGACAGGUGGGGCGCUGUGCCAUCUCAUGUCUGGGCCGGGCCGGGCCAUCUGCAGGCCACCCGCGGAGUGUCUGCCUCUCAGGUGCUCUGACCCGGUGUGUCCCAGCAGCUGUGACCAUGAGGUAUGCGCCAAAAGUCAAGAAGCCAAAAGCCACACCUGCUGCAGAAGUUCGCAGAUCUGCGUUUCGAAGCUAGACGUGUGUGAUGCAGAACUUCAAAGGAACCGAGGCCACAAUCCAGACCCACCAUCGCGCACCCUCCUGGCCGGGCUUCGACGCCCGUGUUGGUGCCGUGUCUGUGCCUUGCCGUGUGCGACAUCCCCUUACACACCACCUGUGACUACAACGUCUCCCGGGCCCGCUGCAAGGAGCUGGGGUGCUGCUUCUACCAGAGCAUCUGCUACGAGAAGGUCAUGCCGACACCUCGAUUGCUGGUGUCCCUCAGGACCCCAGAAGAGAACACAGGCCCUCAAGAACCCGAGAGGACUCCCGACUUCCCCAGGGUGCUCACCCUUCGCACACAGAAGCCCCCACGAACCCUCCUGCCAUCUUUCAUUCUCCUAAGCGGGAAAAAUCCAUGAGAGGAGGAAGAAGAAAGAGAUUCUCAUGCAGUCCACUCUGCCACCUGAGGCCAGCAAUGAGACUGCUAAAGUCUCCCAGGGUGGACAAGUGGUGUCACAGCCGGCCAGUGUCAUUGUCUCCAGGAAGAGUGGCAAGAACCUGGAGGAAGAGGGAUCAGCUGUCACGGAGCUGGAAGACACAGAGGACUGAAGUGUGCAAAGAGGAAGUGGAGAACAGGGAAAUGUCCCUGAGACACACAGCUGUGACCCCUGGUGGGGCCAUAUGGAGUGGCCACCCUAUGAGCCAAUAAAAAGGUCAAAGUUGAAAAAAUGUAAGAAGACUUUCUGAGAAAAGAGUGGACCAAAUGCACCCCCACACUAAAAACCCAGCAGAACAAACCUUAGAGAUGAGCAACAAUGAAAUCUUGAAGAGGAUAUUGGGCUCUCUUCAGUAAUUCAAGGCUCCUUAAUUAUCCUGCAUCUUUUCCUUUGUGUGUUCUUUGCAGUGGGAUCCAAAUUUGAAAAAGAAAAAGCCUUCCACAUUUAUGACUAUUGUACCAUUAUAUUUGCGCUAUCUUCAUAUUGAUGAGGCUGAUAAAAAUAGAAAAUUGUAAAAGGCUCUGGUAUCAAAGACAGAGGCCUCCUGUAUGAAAUUCUUUUGUCCUGUGGCCUUUUCUCCUCCACACACUCAUUACCUUCUCUCCCAAGGAUAGAGAAAUCUUGCUCCAUCUUUUUUCCAGAGUCUCUUUAUUUCUUCCGUUUCACCUCUUACAAUGGACAGCUAAGUCCCUGCCUUGACUCUCCUGUCACUAAAUUUGCAAUUAAAAUAGCAAGCCCAGCUGGAUGCUUGCUUCUUC